rnacentral:rRNA from 1 species
UGCCAGCAGCCGCGGUAAUACGGAGGGCGCAAGCGUUGCUCGGAAUCACUGGGCGUAAAGAGCGUGUAGGCGGAUAAAUAAGUUUGAAGUGAAAUCCUGUGGCUCGACCAUAGAACUGCUUUGAAAACUGUUUAUCUAGAAUAUGGGAGAGGUAGAUGGAAUUUCUGGUGUAGGGGUAAAAUCCGUAGAGAUCAGAAGGAAUACCGAUUGCGAAGGCGGCUUUCUGGACCGAUACUGACGCUGAGACGCGAAAGCGUGGGGAGCAAACAGGAUUAGAUA